UGUAUUUUAUCAUAGGAACCAAUGCAAGUUUGGCCGAAUUCGGCCGAAAGCGGCCGAAAACGGCCAACCUGAGGCGGAUCGCCGUCGCCGGAGCACAGCGGAGCCGCCGUGCCGGAAUCCCGAAAUUGGCCGAGGGAGCCCUGGGUCUGAUUUGGAGUUUUUUGGGGACAUGUGCAGAUACCAGAAGUGUGUUUUAGUUCCCGAAAAAAAAUUCAGAAAAUCUAAAGACUACCCGUAGGCAAAGUGAAAAACCGAUUUUAGAUUUCGAAUCAAGUAAGAAUCUCUCACCCUAUUUCCUAUCACGGCAUUAAAGCUUAAUAAAUGA
rnacentral:lncRNA from 1 species